rnacentral:rRNA from 1 species
UACGUAGGGUGCAAGCGUUAAUCGGAAUUACUGGGCGUAAAGCGUGCGCAGGCGGCUAUGCAAGACAGAUGUGAAAUCCCCGGGCUCAACCUGGGAACUGCAUUUGUGACUGCAUAGCUAGAGUACGGUAGAGGGGGAUGGAAUUCCGCGUGUAGCAGUGAAAUGCGUAGAUAUGCGGAGGAACACCGAUGGCGAAGGCAAUCCCCUGGACCUGUACUGACGCUCAUGCACGAAAAGCGUGGGGGAGCAAACAGG